CAGUAUGGCCUAAAGACCCUAAAAGUACCAGAUCCCAUCUGAACUUGGAAGCUAAGCAGUGUCAGCCCUGCUUAGUACUUGGAUGUGAGACCACCAAUAAAUACCAGAGACUAUAGCCU
rnacentral:rRNA from 1 species